CCUACGGGUGGCUGCAGUGGGGAAUAUUGCGCAAUGGGCGAAAGCCUGACGCAGCGACGCCGCGUGAGGGAUGAAGGUCUUCGGAUCGUAAACCUCUGUCAGCAGGGAAGAACGGUCACUGUGCUAAUCAGCAGUGAAUUGACGGUACCUGCAAAGGAAGCACCGGCUAACUCCGUGCCAGCAGCCGCGGUAAUACGGAGGGUGCGAGCGUUAAUCGGAAUUACUGGGCGUAAAGCGCUCGUAGGGGGUAUGUCAAGUCAAGGGUGAAAUCCCCGGGCUCAACGGUGGAACUGCCUUUGAAACUGGCAAACUGGAGUGUGUGAGAUGAUAGUGGAAUUCCAGGUGUAGGAGUGAAAUCCGUAGAUA
rnacentral:rRNA from 1 species